rnacentral:misc_RNA from 1 species
GAUGAAGAACGCAGCGAAAUGCGAUAAGUAGUGUGAAUUGCAGAAUUCAGUGAAUCAUCGAAUCUUUGAACGCACAUUGCGCCCCUUGGUAUUCCAUGGGGCAUGCCAGUUCGAGCGUCAUUUGUACCUUCAAGCUUUGCUUGGUGUUGGGUGUUUGUCUCGCCUUUGCGUGUAGACUCGCCUUAAAAUAAUUGGCAGCCGGCGUAUUGAUUUCGGAGCGCAGUACAUCUCGCGCUUUGCACUCAUAACGACAGCGUCCAAAAGUACAUUUUACACUCUUGACCUCGGAUCAGGUAGGGAUACCCGCUGAACUUAAGCAUAUCAAUAAGCGGAGGA